rnacentral:lncRNA from 1 species
GGACGAGCUACCCGGAGCCCAGCCAUUUGCACACUUCAUCCGACGCAGAAACGCGAAAAUGAGAGCGAAGCUGACCCCGGGAAAGGCUCUGGAUUAUAGGAUCGGCCGCACGUGGAGGAAAGCGGGGAGGUCAGCGAGAGGGAAGACCACCCUGUAAUCCCAAUGCAACCCCCGAAACUGAAACAGACGCCAGCGGCCACCCCCAGCUUUCCUGCCAGCUGUCCUCCAGCGCGAGCCGCUCGCCUACGGGGAGCUCAGUGAGAAGGGUGAGGGACUGAGUCCAGUGAGGCUCGGCCUCGGGGUCCAGCAGCUGGGUGACCUCCAGUGGUGGCUUGCACAUUUUACAGAUGAGAAAACCGAGGCUUGGAGUUGUUCAUUGAUUCUCCAGACCAAGUGGAAGGGGCAAAAUCUGAUUUGUCACCUGGCGGCCGUUGUGAAUUCCUCUUCUCUAGCCCCUGAUUUCUUCCACCGCAUCUCAUGACACGCGGUCCUCUCCCCGCAGCUUUGUCUUGUUUGGCCUCCCCACGGGGGAAAUACAGAAUGGAAUGUGGUUUUUGA